AAUGGAACCCGGCUGCUGCUGC
rnacentral:miRNA from 1 species